AGCGAACGCUGGCGGCAGGCCUAACACAUGCAAGUCGAACGAAGUCUUCGGACUUAGUGGCGGACGGGUGAGUAACACGUGGGAACGUACCUUUUGGUUCGGAACAACUCAGGGAAACUUGAGCUAAUACCGGAUGAGCCCUUAGGGGGAAAGAUUUAUCGCCGAAAGAGCGGCCCGCGUUAGAUUAGCUAGUUGGUGAGGUAAAGGCACCAAGGCUACGAUCUAUAGCUGGUCUGAGAGGAUGAUCAGCCAAACUGGGACUGAGACACGGCCCAGACUCCUACGGGAGGCAGCAGUGGGGAAUCUUGCGCAAUGGGCGAAAGCCUGACGCAGCCAUGCCGCGUGAAUGAUGAAGGUCUUAGGAUUGUAAAAUUCUUUUACCAGGGACGAUAAUGACGGUACCUGGAGAAAAAGCCCCGGCUAACUUCGUGCCAGCAGCCGCCGUAAUAC
rnacentral:rRNA from 1 species